rnacentral:lncRNA from 1 species
UCAUAGAUAUGGUUUCUCUCUGAUACUGAACGGCUUCCAAUUUCAAGUAGAAUGCUACAUCAGAAGAAUAACGAUGGGAAGAGAACCGGUUUCUUGUGUAAUCCAACAUGUUUUAGUCUGCGCAUUACAAACCAUUAUUUGAAGAAGGGUGGACAGGCUCUGGUAGCAUGUUAGUCGGCUGAGUGGCGGAAGAUGGGGCGGGAAAGUUGACGGAGACGGGAAAGGCGCUGUCGGUGACAUCACGGAUAGGGCGACUUCUAUGUAGAUGAGGCAGCGCAGGGGCCGCUGCUUCUCCACCUGCUGCUUCGCCACGAAGGAGUUCCGUGCUGUGGGAGCGAGUCCAGGACAGCUGGUCGGACCUCAGAGUCCCAGCUGUGUGUCAGGGCUAGGAGGGCUCGGGGACGCGCGGGGCAAGUGACCGUGCGUGUAAAGGUUGAGGCGUAUGGAGCUGUGGCGGGGCGGAGGUGUGCAAAUCCGUAGUUACCUGGGAGGGAAGAUAGUAUUGUGAAGAUCGUUUUUCCAGAGUGAGGUUUUUUCUAUUGUGUGUACUGAUUCUUGCGAUUUUCCUAAAUGUAGGAAAUUCCACUGCAUAAUUUGUGGUAGUGGGGGGGGCUGCGUUAGUGAAUUCCGCUGAGAUACUGCAGUGCAAAACGUGAGCUCUACGCGAAGGGCUACUCUUAGUUUCUAUGGGUUUGUAGCUUUGACGGCAUGUUAAGUGUCGUCCUUACUGUCUCAAGCGUGAGAAACAGAAAGUAUCGCGUUACGGUCCUCUCCGCCGCUGUCGUGAGCUUAUUUAACACAAACUAAGUGGCCGCAGGGCUCUUCCCCAACCUUUCUAUGUGGGGCUGCUUUUUGCAGACUUUGCUUCAUGGUCUCCAGUCUCUUGGGUUCUCUGUGAAAACCUUCGUGUUUUUUCGUAGCCUCCAGAGUCACCCUUCACACAGCCUCUGCUUCUAACCGCAGCCCCCGCAGUAGUUUGUAGGAUUUCUGUGCUAGCAGGGAAUGUGUUCUCACCUCCUAGAGCCAGGUAGAAACUCUACGCAGACGGGUGCUGUUCUUUGGGAUGAGAGCAGUGUCCCCGUUCCGUUGUAGACACAACACGCUUGCUUUCUGUAGGGGAACGGCUCUCCCCGCGCCCAGGUGCCCUUGCUUAUAUUAACCAAGGCCCGUAGGUCGGAAUCGCAGUCUCACCUGUCGGCAGAAUGUGCUGCGAUCUACCCCAACUACCCGAACUACCCAGCAAUAAAAUGGGACACAUUACGGAAACAUGAGAUAAAAUGGAUCAUCUCAAAAACAUUAUGCCGAGUGAUGAAAAGAGUGCAUCCUGUGUGGCGCCAUCAAGGUGAAUUUCUAGAACAGGAUGAUUCAGCAAUUUCCCCGUGGUCCGGGCCACUGUGAUAACUCGGUUUCUGGGACCCCGAACACCGAAGAGGGAGACGAAGAGGGUGACAUCGCGAGGCUGAGACAGCGGGAGCAGAAGGGACACCGAGACCUGCAGCGCAGAGCUUCUGAACAUCAGCGGAAUCUCCAUUCCAUUUAGGAAGUAAAACACGGCCUUACCAUGCCAAUGAAACACAAAGGUUCCACCGAGACUCGAACUCGGAUCGCUGGAUUCAGAGUCCAGAGUGCUUACCAUUACACCAUGGAACCAUGCAACAUAAAGUUGUUAAAGGUGUCUGAAUUAGUUCCCACCCACCCAUGUUAAGGCAUUUCUUUAGAUUCCACAAGCAACACUUAAGGUAGGUGGACCUGCAGGAAGGAGCCAUCCUUCUUGCUUUCUCUCUGCCCUCUCCGUUGAUCGACUUCUGUCAUUUCAUUUGCACCCCGGAAAAAGAGGCAAAAUCCACUGUGGGUUUAGGGCCAGAGAAGAGCCCUUGAAGCCUCGGUCAUAGAGUUUCCUGUGCCGAGGUGAAAUUCCUUCCUUCCCUUCCCCUCCCUCCCUCCCUUCCUCCCUCCCUCCCUCCCUCCCUCCCUCCCUCCCUCCCUUCCUUCCUUCCUUCCUUCCUUCCUUCAUUCCUUCUUUCCUUUCUCUCUCUCUCUUUCUUUCUUUCAUUCAAGCUUCGGUGGCAGAGUUUCCUGUGCCGAGAUUAACUUCCCUUCCCUUCCCUCCCCUCCCCUCCCCUCCCUUCCCUUCCCUUCCUCUCUUUUCAUUGAGACAGAGUCUCCUUCUGUUGCUCAGACUGGAGUGCAAUGCAGUGGCAGUGGGUGAUCUCCCCUCACUGCAACCUCCAUCUGUCGGGUUCAAGUGAUUGUAAUCCCCAGUGGCUGGGAUUACAAGCAUGGGCCACCAUGUCCGGCUAAUUUUUGUAUAUUUGGUAGAGAUGAGGUUUUGCCAUGUUGGCCAGGCUGGUCUCAAACUCUUGACCUCAAGUGAUUCGCCCGCCUUGGCCUCCGGAAGUGCUGGGAUUACAGGCGUGAGCCACCGCACCCAGCCCGGAGAUGAAAUAUCUGCAAAAUUUCUGUUAUUUUCUUUAUGCUUUCCCUCUUUUCCAUUUGCCCAAGGAGGCCAGAUGAUUGUCAAAACAGGACGUGGGACUUCCUGGGCACCUUGCCCCCUUCCUCCCUGUAGUAUAUAACAGAAGACAGCAAUCAAGUGAGAUUGGGAAGCAGGGAAUCCUUUAUUUUUUUAUUCAUAUACUUCUAUGUUUGUUUGGUUGGUUGGUUUUAACAAAAUUUUCUCACCAGAAAUGGAGAUUUGUUGGAUUUAAAAUAAAAGCAAUCAGCCAUGUUUUACAUUUCUGUAAAACACUCAAACCAGGCCAUACUCUCCUAUUUUGACUCAAAAUCAGCCAUAUACUGUCCAGGUCAGGAGGCAGGCCCCUGACAUUUAAGCACAGUGUGUUUUCUCAGAAUUGGCCAAGUUGAUGCCAUUCCAGUUUCUCAAUAUAUCAUGACCCAUUAAUUUCAGUCUUUAAAAGUAAACACGUAUUGUUACUGAAAGCCCAGGAAUUCGGUCUAGGCCCUGCUGCUCAGCUCACAGAAAGCCAAUCAUUAAGACAUUGAGUAUUGCUGAGGAAGAAGGCUUUAAUUGGGUGUUGCAGCUGAGGAGAUGGGAGAUCAGUCUUAAAUCAAUCUCCCUGAUCAACUAAAGUGAGGGGUUUAUGUAGCAGGGAAG